rnacentral:rRNA from 1 species
UACGUAGGCAGCGAGCGUUGUUCGGAGUUACUGGGCGUAAAGAGUGCGUAGGCGGUUUUCUAAGUUUGGUGUGAAAUCUCCCGGCUUAACUGGGAGGGUGCGCCGAAGACUGGAAGGCUUGAGUAUGGGAGAGGUAAGCGGAAUUCCUGGUGUAGCGGUGAAAUGCGCAGAUAUCAGGAGGAACACCGAUGGCGAAGGCAGCUCGCUGGGACGGUACUGACGCCUGAGGCGCGAAAGCGUGGGGAGCAAACAGG